CCUACGGGUGGCUGCAGUGGGGGAUAUUGGACAAUGGGGGGAACCCUGAUCCAGCGACGCCGCGUGAGUGAAGAAGUAUUUCGGUAUGUAAAGCUCUGUCAGCAGGGAAGAAAGAAAUGACGGUACCUGACCAAGAAGCCCCGCCUAACUACGUGCCAGCAGCCGCGGUAAUCCGUAGGGCGCAAGCGUGAUCCGGAAUUACUGGGUGUAAAGGGGGCUUAGACGGGUAAGUAAGUCUGGAGUGAAAGGCCGGGGCCCAACCCCGGGACUGCUGUGGACACUAUUGAACUUGAGUGCAGGAGAGGUAAGCGGAAGUCCUAGGGUAGCGGUGAAAUGCGUAGAUAGUAGGAGGAACACCAGUGGCGAAGGCGGCUGACUGGACUGUAACUGACGUUGAGGCUCGAAAGCGUGGGGAGCAAACAGGAUUAGAUACCCUUGUAGUC
rnacentral:rRNA from 1 species